rnacentral:rRNA from 1 species
CAUGUAGGCGGAUUAAUAAGUUUGAAGUGAAAUCCUAUAGCUUAACUAUAGAACUGCUUUGAAAACUGUUAGUCUAGAAUGUGGGAGAGGUAGAUGGAAUUUCUGGUGUAGGGGUAAAAUCCGUAGAGAUCAGAAGGAAUACCGGAUUGCGAAGGCGAUCUACUGGAACAUUAUUGACGCUGAGAUGCGAAAGCGUGGGGAGCAAACA